GAGCCGGCCGAGGUAGAGUGGAGAAGAAGGCUGCCUUGGCUGGGUGCAGGCGGCAUCUUCUGCACCAGGUGGAGGACAGGCAGCUUUGCACAACUGAACAUCCCUGAGCCAGCCGGCCUCUGAGCAUCUUGCGCUGGCAGUGCCGGGCAAAGCUCCCGGGAGGGGAGGCUGCCUGGCAUGGAGGGGGCAUUGAUAAAAUGGCAGCCCCUGUCCUUGGCUCCGUUAUGCUUACAGGCUCCAAAUGGCCUUUAUCUCGGUCCUCGCAGCCUGCGCCAGUGCAGAGAGAGAAACGGGCGUCCUACCAGCUGCCGGGAACUCAGGAAUGGAGGCAGAGGCGGAAGCAGAGGCUCCAGUUGGUGGAGGCAGCAGAAACCACACUGCUCAGCUUCCCGGGAGGGAAAGGAAACAUCUGGCAAUGUCUGGAGACACUCUUGGCAUCUAGUGGGUGGAGGCCAGGAUGCUGCUAAACAUCCUCCAAUGCACAGGACAGACUCCACGACAAACAGUCAUUCAGCCUGAAAUGUCAGUAGUUCAAGGGGGAAAAACGCUGCACCAGGAUGAUGUUCGGGACCUGGCACUUGCAAACCCUUCACAUGUAGGGCUAGGUUCACAGUUGUGCCUACCCCUGGAGGCAUAUUAGCAGCUCUGGGAACUUAAAACAACAACAACAACAACAACGUUUAGGGCCCUUUCCAGACCAGAAUCUCUGAGAGGAGGGCUCAAGCAUCAUCCACAGGUUGAGACACACCAGGAUGGAGACCCACUGGACCAGAAGGGGUCACCUGCAAGGAAUGACACGCUGGAGGAGGACAAAGGCCAAAGCAUGUGAUUCUUGCAGGACUUUAUGGCCAUGCUAUGGAGGAGACAAUGCGGAACCCCCGGAGUAUUUUAAGCUAGGGAGUAAUACGGUCAAAUUUCCAUUUAGACAAAUUAUUUUAGCAAUGUUAAGCAGGAUGCUUUAGAAAGAGGAGGUGAGGAGAGCAUGAAGACCAGUCAGAAGGCUUUGCAGUGGUCCAGGACAGCAUUGGUGAGAAUGAAAAUGGAAGCAUUUCCCUAUUUCCCCUGCCCCGCCUAGCCCCCAGCCCCUGGCAAUCAGUAGUCUACUUUGGAAAUGGGUUGCAAUGGUGUGGAUUUCAAAAAUAUGCAAGUGAUAACAUUGAUGGGACUUUAGACCCAUGAGAUUUGGGCAUUGAGAGGGAGGGAGGAAUCAAAAGUGAAGCCCAGUGUUUCUUGCUUCAGAACUGGAUAUUUGGUGGUGAAAUUUACUGAGAUAAGAAGCCCAGAA
rnacentral:lncRNA from 10 species